UGUCUUUUUGAAAUUAAUAUAAAGUUUGAUCUGCCCACUGAUUAAUAAUUGAAGGGCUGCAGUAUAUUGACUGUACAAAGGUAGCAUAAUCAUUAGUCAUUUAAUUGAUGACUUGUAUGAAGGAUUGGAUGAAAUAUAAUCUGUCUCUUAAUUAAUAAUAGAAUUUAAUUUUUUAAUUAAAAAGUUAAGAUGGUUUAAAAAGACGAGAAGACCCUAUAGAGUUUAAUAAAUAAAUUAUUUGAUAUUAUUUAUAAUUAUAAAAUUGAAAUUAAUUUAUUUAUUUUGUUGGGGUGAUAAAAAAAUAUAAAAAACUUUUUUUUUUAGUUAACAUUUAUAAGUGAUUAAAUGAUCCAAUAUUAUUGAUUAUAAGAAUAAAUUACCUUAGGGAUAACAGCGUAAUUUUUUUUUUUA
rnacentral:rRNA from 1 species